GGAACGUCCCGCCGGCUUCACCGCAGGCCGGCAUCUCAGCCUCAGGCCCCACAGCGGGUCUCCCGUCUCCACCCUCGCGGGCUCUGCAGGGCUGGGGCUGCUCCUGAGUUUCUGGUAAGGCCUUCGGGAGUCCCAGCUCUGCGGAGACCAAAGCCCCCACAUCCUCGGCAGAGCCCGGGCGAGUGCCCCGCGGGUGGCGGCGGCUGUGGGGCCGUCUGGGAUUCUCCGCAGCACUGACCCUGCAACCUCCUGUGUCUGCGCUUCGUGGUGAGGGGCGGCGGGAUGCGCGCGAUCCCUUUUUGACUCAGCCAAACGGAAAAGCUCGCGCGUCCCGGCUGGAAGGUGGAGGUCAGGCAGGACCCGGCAAAGGCACAUUCCAAACGAAGCAGACCCCAUUCCUCACCUGCAGAGGGAAGGCGGUGUGGACGGACAGAAACGGCCCUCACAGCCACAGAACCACCGCGGCCACAGCAGCGCGGCGUCCGGCAGGGAGCGGACCGUGGUGGAGGCCUCUGAGCCGAGCAGGCCACGCAGACCCGGGAGGCGCUGAAGCGGGCGCAGCUGCGCCCUGGAGCAGGCAGACCAGGCCACGGCGGAGGGAGAGGCCCGGGGACGCGGCGCAGCCCCUGCGGAGAGGCACGGGGGCGGCGGGGACGCCCUCCCACUGGCUGAAAUGCCAGGGACCGGCCUGGGCGUGGAGCAGCCGGGGCGAGCCCGCCUCCAGGCACCGCCGGCUGCCCUAGGCAGGGCCUGCAGGAGUGGCCCGGAGCCGGGCACCGAGGCACCGAGGCGGGGACCUGGAGGGGGCAUUCGGUGCUGACUACAGGUCUACAGUCUAAGUCCAGCGCCUGAAGCUGAGGUGUGUGGAUUCCACACUGAUCGUGUCCCCUACACGCUCAUCUUCCGUGUACAGAACGGAGACUCCUUCCUCCACCUACCCAGAGACGCCUGUGUAACUGACUCUUCCUUUACUCCCUUUCCCUCGCCGGUCAUUCGCCUUACCUUAUGGAAAGUGUAAAUUAGGCACUGAGGAACGUCUCACAGGAAUGCAGCCUUCAGCCUUCCUGCCUGCUGGCCCCUCUUCCUACCUGCCCCCGGCCCCGCUUAAGGAAAUGCGCCAACAGGAAGCCUCCUGAAAAGCUCUUUGGAGAAACAGCCGCAGCUGUGUCUGUGGCUGGUGUUUUUCCCAGGUGAACCCUAAAGCUGGCUUGAAAAACCUAAAUGAGCCGAGUGCAGUGGCUCACGCCUGUAAUCCCAGCACUUUGGGAGGCCGAGGUGGGUGGAUCACCUCAGGUCAGGAGUUCAAGACCAGCCUGGCUAACAUGGCGAAAGUCCAUCUCUACUAAAUAUACAAAAAUUAGCCGGGUGUGGUGGUGCAUGUCUAUAGUCCCAGCUACUCAGGAGGCUGAGACAGGAGAAUCGCUUGAGCCCGGGAGGCAGAG
rnacentral:lncRNA from 1 species